rnacentral:lncRNA from 1 species
GCAUUAUAAGGACAGCCCUGCCAGCUGAGGUCUCAAGUGCUCUGGUCUGCUUUUUGUUCUUCCUAACCAAAGAUGAAGUUCAGCCAGGAUGCUCCUGGGCUUAAGGUCAAGUUGUGCUCUAAUUUGGCAACAACAGUUCUUACUUAAUAUCACUGAUUGUUCCAACAAAGCAGCCACACUACCACAGCCUCAUGCACAGUACGUGUUUGUCGGAGUGAAUUGUGUGUGACCUUUUAUUUUUUUCUCUCCAAAGGCUUUUUACCCUACGUUGUUUUUAUGGAUUCACUUGGACAGGAGAAGAUCACAGAUCCCAUCGUAGGCAUGUCUAUGCUGAGUCUGUGUUUCUGCCCUGAGUCGAGAAUCUCUUUUUAUCUGUGUCACGUCUGUGAGGAAGUGUGCCCACCAAGCACUAUUAUAAGCCACAUCACUUCCGGGAGCCAUUAUGUCAACUACUCUAACUACACAGACCCGAAUAUAUUAUUUUAUGCCUGGAUCCCCAGCAACAGCAAUAUGGGUUUUUUGAGGCGCAAUGCUAAAUGGAUGUCUAAAAAUGAAAGAGGAAAUCUGAAGAUGUUGCAUUUACCUGAAAAUCUGAUAAAUCAGCUUCAUUCUAGUGGCUCAUACUCAAAAGUUAUGAGCGUGCUUAGUGGAAAUGAAAAGCUACUCAAGCAGAUUAAAGCUUCUCAACCAAAGAGGACGAUGAUCCAGACAUAUCUAAAAAACAAAAGCAAGAGUCACCCACUUGUAGGCAUGCAGCAUAUUGUUGAAUGCAUCUGUGCCGGGCCACAUGAGAAGAGGCAUUAUCUCUGCACGCUCUGCAAACUGACUGUGACCACAAACCAGAUCAUCAAACAUGUGCUGAGCUUUGAUCACAUCCACUGGUUCUUUAAAGAAUGGCAUCCCUCUACACUGAGGCCAAAGGGGUGCUACAAGGAAGGCAGCGCCACCUUUUCCUCCAUGAUUGUUGACCUCUCACAGCAGGCAAAUAAAAUUCAUGAGGCUGAAAGUAAUGAUAUGAAGGAAGUGAACCUGCAGCCUGCUGAAUUCGAUUCAGUGAAUUUUACAUCUUACACAGAAGGUUGGUGUGAAGUUUUUAUAGCGCUGGUCAAUGUUUUUCAUUCCUGAAACCUAAAAAGACGUUUUAAUAUUUAUACCCUAUGUUUAUUUUUAGCUUUGACUAAACUGGAAUCCAUCAAGAAGCUCAACUUAACAACAAGCAUCAAACCAGGGAACAAACUGGGUAUGUUUGUGUAAAUCAGUCUGCCUGCUGUGGAGGACUACAACUGCCACACGUAAUACAUUCAUUAGCAAUUAAAGGCAACAAAAUAAUACAAAUAAAUC